AUGUAAAAUAGCAUUUUUUUUUGAUGAAAUCAAAAAUAUCCUUUAAUCACAUACCAUUAUAAUAAUAUCUAUUCAUACGAGUUACAUAACAGCUAGAAUAGGCGCUCAAACAAUUGAAAAAUUUUAAAUUACAACGGUUUACAUAGGUAUUAUAUUACAAAUAUAAGAAGUUUGAAUUUAUAUUUGACUAUCUGAUUAUUAAUUGUUUUUAAAUGAAGACAAGACAAGACAUCUCCAAUUAAUACAAUUUGUCGAUGAUUAGUAAUGCCAAAUUGUCUGUUGAAGUUGUAUAUGACCUCAAAACCAAAAAAUAAAACAUAAGUAGCUGAAAACAUACAGGACAUGAGUGAAACCUGCAGUGAUGUGGCUAGCUGUUUUAACACAAGGAGCAAAUGUUUAAGUCUACCCACCUACAUUUUUGAUAUUUAGUUGUUAUUCAAAAAUUA